GAUGAAUCAAAGGCCGGACUUACAGCUGCCAUUUAGUUCGCUGGGUAGUAGAUUGACGAUUUUUUUUCUUUAAGAUUUCUAUUGUACCUCAAGAAUAAUUGAUGAAUCAUGUCAGAAACCUGGGCUGCUCGUUAAUAUUUUUGCUGAAAGCUCGCAACAGCUUCCUAAUGUUGUAGGAAGAGGAGACAUAGUUCAGCUUUUUAAUGUCAUGAUUCUUAUGGCUUUCCAAUGUUAAGAGAAACCAAGGAAGGAGAUUGCUGCAGUCUGGCAUGCAAGGUUGCAGUUAAGCUCCAUUGGAGUAUCUACAGGUCUAGAACCUAACAUACCAGCUUCUUUGAGGGGAUGCAGACUAUAUUUUCUCUAUGUGACAUUAAUGCCCUUAGAUGACUGAGCUACUUCCAAUCCAAGGAAUUAUCUCAGGUGGUCAAGAUCUUUAAUGUUGAAUUCUGCAAAAGUCGAUGGUCUUUCCACAAAUUGCAGGUUAGAAGAUGAACUGCACAAUCCUCUUCCCUUACAUCAUGAACUAGUGCCUAUGCCAAGAGGAUUGUUGUGUGUACUUUUGCUACCGUUGGGUCCAUCUUGAGA